AUUACAAGUUCAUGAUCUUUGUAUAAAGUGUGUGGUGACUAAAACAUAUGGUUUUUAUUGUUAAUGUAAUUUAUUUUAGAAUUACCUUUGAUAAUAUUAGUAGCAAUUAUGAAAUUUGAAAGAGUUUUUUCUCACAAAAUGCACCAUCACGUUAAUGUCAUAGGUAUGUAUUUCUCAAAGUUUACGAAAAAUCUGCAUAACUCAUCGAACAUAUUCAAUUUAUAGAUUCACAAAAGUACAUAAUAUAUAGGGAUUUCGCUUAUAUUAUAGAGACCAAAAGCGUUGUUAAGCAUAUUUUUUAUAUAGAAAUUUGAUUUUAAUGAAUAUUUUGAUAUAUGUUACCAAUUACUAAUAGGUUGUGGAUUUUUGGCAGGUUGAUGCACCAAAUAAAUUUACCUGGAUGCACUUACAUCAGAGUUGGUUGGAUGGCUCAGAAGGAAAGGAUGAUACACCUUGGUUUAUCUAAAGAAUAUUUACUAUUAUUACACUCACACCUUAGAGGUGACCAACCUGCCAGGUGCGUUGAGACAUGCCCUUCCCUGAUCUUCAUAGUAUUUCCCUCUUGUUUUAUUUGUGUAAUAAUAGGUUUAUCAAUGCAACCGAAAACCUUUUUUUUUUCUUUCUUUUCUUCUUUUGAUAGGCAAAUGUUAGUUGUUAGUACAUAUUGUUAGUGGGGAGGGGGAAAUGCCAGUAGCCAGGGAUCGAACCAUGGACUCCUUAACUUUUCAACGUCCCAACCCUUUACCACUUGGCUACAUCUUCGGGGACAUGCAACCUGAAA
rnacentral:lncRNA from 1 species